rnacentral:rRNA from 1 species
UACAGAGGUCUCAAGCGUUGUUCGGAUUCAUUGGGCGUAAAGGGUGCGUAGGCGGCUCGGUAAGUCGGGUGUGAAAUUUCGAGGCUUAACUUCGAAACUGCAUUCGAUACUGCCGUGCUUGAGGACUGGAGAGGAGACUGGAAUUUACGGUGUAGCGGUGAAAUGCGUAGAUAUCGUAAGGAAGACCAGUGGCGAAGGCGGGUCUCUGGACAGUUCCUGACGCUGAGGCACGAAGGUCAGGGGAGCAAACGGG